GAAUCAAUACCUUGUUGAGAAAAAUAUCUUCAGUCAAUGGAACAUACGAAUAUUUCAAAUGGUUUCAUCUUUAUAUAGAUAAAAAAACUAGGGUUACGAAGAAAUUAGUCUCCUAGGAAUUGCAACUACCAGCACUAAUAAAAAAACUAAUUUCUUCAAAAUAGUAACUGUUUUUUAAAGCAACAUAAAAGGUCUAGAUAGUUUUGCAAAAAAUAAAUGUCUUCAUCUAAUUUCUCAACUAUCAAAUAGCAAACAAAAUAAAAAGAUAAUCUAUCCAAUGGUAUAGAAAAAAGACAAUGGAAAAAUGUAGAAAAUGUAGAAAAUGGAAACUGAUUUCAAAUUAAAAAAUUAUCUUCCUCUGUUUUGAAAAAUGGAAAUGGGUUUCUGUUUGUUUCCGACCGUCUAGGAGAAGCGGUUGUCGACCGACUUUUUGGAAGCACGAGGUCGAGUGUCGGAAGAGAAAUCCGACCAGUGUGUUUCGUUUAACAUACCUCGAGUCGUCCGGCUUUAUCUGGAGUGAACGUCUUCCUCAAAUGCUGAAUGUCUGGAGUGAACGGAAGACUCCUAGCGGCGAUGAUUCUGCGCACAAGCAGAGAACAACAGCUGCAACACUAGAGGGAUAAUUUUUUUUAUCACCAACGUACGGUUUAGGAUGUGUUUUGGAGGGAGAUCGGAAAUAGGUUUACUUUUUUGGGAAUAAGAAGAUUCCACAUAAUCCAAAAAAAAACAUCAAUUACUAGGAUAAUAUCUUUCUACUGUUUUAAUGUGUUACCAUAAGUAGCUUUAAGUUUUUAAAUUCCCAUUAAUUUCCCCUAGCCGGUACCUUGUGACCUGCUACUUGUUGACCAGGUUGCAAGCACGGCCAAGGGGCUUUCAGAAAACAAACGGCUGAGAUGAGGAAGGAUUCUCAUGAGAACCCUUUUUAACUGAUAUACACCCUUGAUAAUUAACGUAGAAGAGGGAGGUCAACUUACCUACGUGGAAGGCGAAACAAAUAAUCAAGGUGGGUGGUCAGACGAAUCCAACAGGUCAGAUUAAUCGAGUCAAUUGGGCACUGACCAAGGACCUGGGGUUUAACCAAAAUGGAAAUAUCGAUCAACUUAAAGAGACUGGUGAAAUUUCAACCUCAAUCACGCCAGGUCAAUAGGCUGAGCAAGGGGUAAAUCAGUCAAUCGAAGAGUGGAAUGUAUCGUGAAAUUUAAAGGAGAAACAUCGGGUAGGGGCAAGAAACAAGAAUCCGGAUCCAAAAACAAAAACAAAAAGGGGAAAAUCGGAGACCCGACCCGACCUAGCAGGCACAGACAGUUGGAUGAUGACGGAGACGGUGAGCUUCGCGACGAUGAAACACAAAAAAUCAGCGGAAGUCCAGAGGGCGAGUGCAAUCAAAAUUCCAGACAAUGCGAUCAGUACAGAAGUGAAACACAUCAAGAAGAACAGGUCGCCAAGAGUCAUCAGUGAUGGAUUAUCUAAAAAGAAGAAAAACAGAGGUGCAGAAACAAAAUGAUAGCCAGAGGGAACAAUUGGAAGAGGAACCAGCAGUACAACAGAAGGAGAAGCAAUUGCCGCAACCCAAUUCCGGAAAACGAACUCGAUCCACAGAACAGAUAUCAUCGUCGUCGAAAGGUAAGAAACUCUCAAAAAAUAAAAUCAAGCAGAAGGAAAGGAGGGACGCGGCUCGGAAUGCGACGGAACGUACAAAGAAGGAGAUUUCGAGGAAAAUAAGGGAGGAUUACCUGCUAGAAUCCGAGGAGGGGGAAAUCAAUUUCACUCCGGAGAGGCAGGCCCUCUGGUAUACUUGAUUUCUCAACGGAGGUAGGGAAGGAUGAUGACACGGAGGAGUAAUACGAAAUCGGGAAAAUCAUGUGAGAGAAAUCACCGGCCGAGGACAUGAUUGCGGAGACAGCAAAAGAAAACCAGGAAUAGAAACAGGGGAUCGAGGUAGGCUCCGGUCGGCGGAGUUCUGACGGUCAUUAGAACUCACCGGUGAUCAAUCCCGACUUAACCACCAGAGGUAGAUUAAGCGGGGCAGGCAGGUAAUUUUAAUCUGAUAAGUAAAUUAUUUAGCUCUAGUUAAUCUUAAAAAUAAUUAAUUACAGUAAAUAGAACAAAUAAAGUGGGAGCUGGUGGGUAGGGUGUCAAACGAGUCGAGCCUAACUUUUGUUUAUAGAGUCAAGCUCAGGCUCGAUUCGUUAAGGAAUUAUCCAGACUCGGGCUCGAGUCCGAGCCCGUCGAGCUCAGUUCGUUUUAAAAAUUGUCAGGUUUGGGCUCGAAGCUCGCGAGCCUGAUCUCGAAUUAACAGAAAUAAUUAUUUGGAAACAUAAGGGAUCGAGCUUAACGAGCAUGUCUAAACUCGAGUUCGGCUCGUCGGGCUCGCGGACCCAAGUCGAGUUUUAUUUGACACUCUACACAGAUUAUGUGGAUUUAAACAAAACAAAAAGGGAAUUAUUGCACGUGGGUCUGUGAGUAUUUAGGAAAUUGCAUUGAAACACUCACGUGGGCCAGAACUUAAUAGAUUGGAAUUAUAAAAUUAAUCCUAGGUAAUAUAAAAUACACUGCAAGUGGGCUUAAAUAUUUUAAUAUGAGAUAAUUUACAUGAAAAAUUCUAGAUAAAUCCAAGUACUACAAAUAUAGGACUAAUUUGCAUGAUAAUUUUAAUUCUUACAAUCAUUAUAAAAACAGUAACGGACGAUGUUUGGAGGCUGCAAUGGACGAUGUUUGGGAUCGUGCUGUUUCAUAUCUGGAAGCGGCGCAACCAGCGUAGAGUAACGACAAAAGACGAUUCGAUGCACUUCCUGCUACGGAGGAGCAUAGAGAUGGCUGAGAUAGGCUUUGAGGAGGGUCGAUUCAAGAAACAGAACAGGAAAGGUAAUGAACAAAGAGCUUUGCUGCAGUGGGAAGCUCGGUUAAUGCUCAUCCAUGAUAAGGAUGAUGGUGGUUAGUAUCGGCUAACUGUCGGACGAGUAGAAUAGGUAAUUAGUGUUAAUUUUAAUGAAAACAAUAUGUUAAACUCUUAUUUUAUUCAAUCAAAGUAACC
rnacentral:lncRNA from 1 species